UACGUAGGGGGCAAGCGUUGUCCGGAUUUAUUGGGCGUAAAGAGCGUGUAGGCGGCCAGACAGGUCCGUUGUGAAAACUCGAGGCUCAACCUCGAGAUGUCGAUGGAAACCGUCUGGCUAGAGUCCGGAAGAGGAGUGUGGAAUUCCUGGUGUAGCGGUGAAAUGCGCAGAUAUCAGGAAGAACACCUAUGGCGAAGGCAGCACUCUGGGACGGUACUGACGAUGAGACGCGAAAGCGUGGGGAGCGAACAGG
rnacentral:rRNA from 1 species